AUUGAACGCUGGCGGCAUGCCUUACACAUGCAAGUCGAACGCGAAAGGGGGGCAACUCCUGAGUAGAGUGGCGCACGGGUGAGUAAUGCAUCGGAACGUGUCCUGUAGCGGGGGAUAACCUAGAGAAAGCUAGGCUAAUACCGCAUACGUCCUACGGGAGAAAGUGGGGGAUCGUAAGACCUCACACUAUAGGAGCGGCCGAUGCCGGGUUAGCUAGUUGGUGGGGUAAGCGCUCACCAAGGCGACGAGACGUAGCUGGCCUGAGAGGCUGAUCAGCCACACUGGGACUGAGACACGGCCCAGACUCCUGAGGGGGGGAGCAGUGGGGAAUUUUGGACAAUGGGGGAAACCCUGAUCCAGCCAUGCCGCGUGGGUGAAGAAGGCCUUCGGGUUGUAAAGCUCUUUCGGCCGGGACGAAAUCGCACGCGUGAAUAUCGCGUGUGGAUGGCGGUACCGGUAGAAGAAGGACCGGCUAACUACGUGCCAGCAGCCGCCGCGGUAA
rnacentral:rRNA from 1 species